rnacentral:rRNA from 1 species
UACAGAGGGUGCGAGCGUUGUUCGGAAUUACUGGGCGUAAAGGGCGCGCAGGCGGCUCGGUAAGGCUGGGGUGAAAGCCCGGGGCUCAACCCCGGGUCGGCCGUGGCAACUGCUGGGCUGGAGCACAGUAGAGGCGGGUGGAAUUCCGGGUGUAGCGGUGGAAUGCGUAGAGAUCCGGAAGAACACCGGUGGCGAAGGCGGCCCGCUGGGCUGUUGCUGACGCUGAGGCGCGACAGCGUGGGGAGCAAACAGG